GACGAACGCUGGCGGCGUGCUUAACACAUGCAAGUCGAACGGAAAGGCCCUGCUUUUGUUGGGUGCUCGAGUGGCGAACGGGUGAGUAACACGUGAGUAACCUGCCCUUGACUUUGGGAUAACUUCAGGAAACUGGGGCUAAUACCGGAUAGGAGCUCCUGCUGCAUGGUGGGGGUUGGAAAGUUUCGGCUGUUGGGGAUGGACUCGCGGCUUAUCAGCUGGUUUGUGGGGUAGUGGCUUACCAAGGCUUUGACGGGUAGCCGGCCUGAGAGGGUGACCGGCCACAUGGGGACUGAGAUACGGACCAGACGCCUACGGGAGGCAGCAGUGGGGAAUAUUGCACAAUGGGCGGAAGCCUGAUGCAGCAACGCCGCGUGCGGGAUGACGGCCUUCGGGUUGUAAACCGCUUUCGCCGGUGACGAAGCGUGAGUGACGGUAAUGGGUAAAGAAGCACCGGCUAACUACGUG
rnacentral:rRNA from 1 species